ensembl:lncRNA
UUUUCCGUGCCUUUCAUCCCAGCCCACACGUCAUUUUCCACCCAAAAAGGGGAGCGAGCAACCUGGAGAGGAUAUCAGAGUCCGAAGGUGUUACCACUCCUCCACUUAAUGAAGAAAAAUCACGAUGGAGGCGGCCGGAGGCAACGCAAUGGGAUUGCAGCGGGGAGGAGAGGACUGUGUUAACACCCAUUAAUAAUAAAUAACCGCCAUAAUGAGCUCUAAUUAAUUUGGUCACACGUUAGAGAUCGCUUCCUUCUUUUUUAAGCUUGUAGGUUUUUCUGUGCCGGAG